UAGGCCUUCCUGACCUCUGGUGGGCUCUACCCAGUUCAAGCUUCCUGGCCACUUUGUUUACCUGCUCAAGUCUCAGCAAUUGUGGAUGCCCCUCCCCCAGCCAAGCUGCCACCUCACAGUUCAAUCUCAGACUGCUGUGCUAGCAGUGAGCAAGGCUCUGUGGGCAUGGGACUUGCCAAGUCAGGCACGGGAGAGAAUCUCCUUGUCUGUUGGUUGCUAAGACCUUGGGAAAAGUGCAGUAUUUGGGUGGGAGUGUACUGUUUUUCCAGGUACCAUCUGUCACAGCUUCCCUUGGCUAGGAAAGGGAAAUCACCCAACCCCUUGUGUUUCCCAGGUGAGGCAACACCCGGCCUGCUUCAGCUUGCCCCCCGUGGGCUGCACCCACUGUCCAACCAGUCCCAAUGAGAUGAACCAGGACAUUGGCAAGCACGUUGAUAGAGUGCCCACAUUGUACUGAACUCUGAGGGGAAUAGUCUCGUCCCCAUCACUCAGGUGGGGAAACUGAGGAGGAGGCCACUGGAGGCUCCAAGGGCUCUGAAAUGUUGAGAACUUCCCUGCAGGUACCAGCGAAGAGGGCAAGAACACAGCACUACUUCCUUGGAUACUGUUUCCCUCCUCAGAGGGGUUUUCUGAGCUGCCCUGGGUCCUGUGAGGAAGGUCUCCCCUUCCUGUAAAGACACCAGUCCUACUGGAUCAGGGCCCACCCGUGUGACUUCACUUUUACUUGAGUACCUCUCACAGACCCUAACUCCAAAUCAGGUCACUUGCUGAGGUACUGCAUGUGAAGACUUUGACAUUUGAAUUUUGAGGGGGCCACCGUUUAACCUGAACCACCAAGGACAGAGCCAAAGACCCUGGGUGACAGGCCCAGAACAGGACCUGGUGGAGGCUCUUCUUUAGGGGAGAGAGGGAAAUGGGAGCCACCACUGGCAGAGCCUGAAGGCAGGGCAGCCAGAAAGAAGCUGUGGGAGUCCCCACCAUGGAAGACCCUGCCGAGCAUCCUGUGUCUCCUGAAGCAGACCCUGACAUGAGGACUGGGGGCACGUGUUUAUUAAGGGCGAUCCCCGGAAGGAGGAGAUAACCAGGGACCAGCUUCAGCCCUUCUUGCUCUCCAUGGCAGAAGUCCUAGCAGAGUAUGCCCACGCUGGUUAGUGCUGCUGCAAAGAUGAGCCGAAGACCAUGAGAGACCUCCAGGUGGUCCUUCUGGGGAGAAGAAAUGGGUUUUGGCCCCAAAUCCUUCUGCUGCAUUUUUCCCCUAUCCCUGGGAAGCCAUGAGACCUCAAACCUGUGUUCCCAAGGAGGCGAGCUGCUGUUCCCAGGUGAUGAUAUGAUGUGCUUGGGGAAAGUAAGUGGCUGCCAGACAUGGCUGAGAGCUGUUGUCACUGCCGUCAAGUGCAUGUCUCCAAGCCAUAUCACACGGCGUCCCUCGAUGUGAGGCCACAUGGCAAGUGGGCCGUGGAUCUCCCUCUGCCCUUUGCAAGCACGUAAGACAGCAGAUUUUGCAGAUACCUUGUGGCGCAGGGGAAUUUCCUUUGGCCAGGUCUGAAGAAAUAAAGCAGCAGGCACCGAGAACAAAGCCAAGGCUUUCAAAAGACAAGGAGCCAAAAAACUUACUCAAAAUAAAAGUAGUUUUAAAAUGUCU
rnacentral:lncRNA from 1 species